GCUAUAAAUGCUGGCGCGCCAGUGUGCGCGCUCUCUCAUUUCUACGAUGUUGCAGCGGAAGUGCGUUAGAUCUUACAAAUAUGAGAAAGUCCGGCGGUUACAAGAAGGAGGCUGAAUGUGGUCUGAAGUCACUCCAGAUGAGGACUCUCCAGCUGCUCUGAUGUCACACAAGACCUCAAAAUGCCUCGAUCCCAACGGACCGUAAUGUUACUAAUGCAAGGAAAGAUGUGUGAAGAUCUUCAGAAAUCAAGUUUUCUGUUCCUGACCUUCAAAUGUCAAGUGAUCAGCGCUCCCUGUUAACAUUUACAUAAAAAAAAAAAAGGUUCUAGCAUUGAGCGUGAGGCCGCUGUACUAAGACGAUGAAUGUCUGAGAUUGUA